GAUGAAGAACGCAGCGAAAUGCGAUAAGUAAUGUGAAUUGCAGAAUUCAGUGAAUCAUCGAAUCUUUGAACGCACAUUGCGCCCCCUGGUAUUCCGGGGGGCAUGCCUGUCCGAGCGUCAUUACAACCCUCAAGCUCAGCUUGGUGUUGGGCCCCGCCGCCCCGGCGGGCCCUAAAGUCAGUGGCGGUGCCGUCCGGCUCCGAGCGUAGUAAUUCUUCUCGCUCUGGAGGUCCGGUCGUGUGCUGGCCAGCAACCCCCAAUUUUUUUCAGGUUGACCUCGGAUCAGGUAGGGAUACCCGCUGAACUUAAGCAUAUCAAUAAGCGGAGGA
rnacentral:misc_RNA from 1 species